CUAAGUCCCCAGGCUCCUGGCCUCUGCCCUCUCUUUAGGAAUGCUAUUUUAAUUCUUUACCUGACUUCGGAAUUCAAGAAGAACACCUUCAAGCAGAAAAUCUUCUAUAGCAAUGUACCAUUACCGGUCCAGGUGUCCUACCUGUCCGGUGUGGAACCCAGAGUGAAAGCAUCAAGGAAUUUAGAACCGCAAGAAUUUGUGGAAUACCAGCCACUUAUCAGCAAUCCUCUUCCUAA